rnacentral:lncRNA from 1 species
ACCUUAGUUUUUUUUUUUUCUUAGUGUUCGUAAAGAAAAGAAGAAGAGCCAUACAAGGAAGAGAUUUUCGGCUUUUAUAGCCGAUCUACAGAACUUUUAAUUUCUAUUUCUUUGUCUUUUUGCUAUUUGUUUCUUCUGUUGUUGCGUGCCUUUUGCAUUCAAUUUUUGCAGGUGUCAGAGCAUGCGGAGGAAAGGCAGCUAGGAGCGGCGGUAGCCAGGCAUGGCAGAGGAGGCGAAACGGCGUUGGGGCUGGAGCCUGGGCAUGCGGGGCAUGCGGCGCAUGGAGGCUUGGGGGCUAGGGUUUGGUACUGCUGAAUGGGGUUAAUUUUUGGGCUAGGGUUUCUUAAUUUGGGCCUGUUGGGUAUUUUGGGCCACUGUUUAUUUUGGACUGUGUGUUUUUUUUGCUGGUAUUGGGCUUUAUUGUUUUGGGCCCCGGGCAAAAUUUGGGUUUUCCAGUUGCCCCUCUUUGCUCAUUUUCAUGUAACGAGAAUAGAGCAAAGACUUUGAAAGGGCCAAUUUUGCCCGGUCUUGCCAAGUCUUGACUUUUUGGUACUGCUCCGAUCCACUGCGUCUUGUUGCUUUGAUCCACUUCACGGCAUCUUUAGAGAGAUACGACUUCGAUCUACUCUGCUGCAACUCUAUGGGGAUGAGAUUUGUGGUUUUAAUCCGCUCCGCUGCAACUUCCAAGAGAUAGAAUUGGUUUCUUUCGUAUGCUCCACUACUGCUUAGGGAGAUAAGACUUGAUGUGAUCUGCUCCACUACUGCUUAGGGAGAUAAGAUCUGGUUUCUUUCGUCUGCUCCACUACUGCUUAGGGAGAUAAGACUUGAUGUGAUCUGCUCCACUACUACUUAGGGAGAUAAGACUUGGUUUCUUUCGUCUGCUCCACUACUGCUUAGGGAGAUAAGACUUGAUGUGAUCUGCUCCACUACUGCUUAGGGAGAUAAGAUCUGGUUUCUUUCGUCUGCUCCACUACUGCUUAGGGAGAUAAGACUUGAUGUGAUCUGCUCCACUACUGCUUAGAGAGAUAAGAUCUGGUUUCUUUCGCUCCACUACUGCUUAGGGAGAUAAGACCUGGUUUCUUUCGUCUGCUCCACUACUGCUUAGGAAGAUAAGACUUGAUGUGAUCUGCUCCACUACUGCUUAGGGAGAUAAGACCUAGUUUCUUUCAUCUACUCCACUACUGCUUAGGGAGAUAGGACUUGAUGUGAUCUGCUCCACUACUGCUUAGAGACAUAAGAUCUGGUUUCUUUCGUCUGCUCCACUACUGCUUAGGGAGAUAAGACUUGAUGUGAUCUGCUCCACUACUACCUAGGGAGAUAAGAUCUGGUUUUAAUCCUUUUAAUUGUAAUGUCGGGGAACACGAUUCGCCAUUGUAGCUUCAAUCAAUUCCACUGCACCACCAGGAAAGUAAGAUUCACUGUUGCGGCUUCAAUCUUUUUAUUUGUAAUGUCGGGGAAGCAAGAUUCGUCGUUGUAGCUUUAAUCUGCCCCACUACAUCGCCAGAGAGAUACUACUGCAACUUCAGAGAGAUAAGAUCUGUUUUCUUCGAUCUACUUCGCCACCAAUAUGGGAAGACAAGAUCUGCAUCUUCGAUCCACUUCCUACCAAUAUAGGAAGACAGAACCUGCUAUCUUCGAUCUACUUCACGCCAAUACAUGAAGACAAGAUCUGCUUUCUUCGAUCCACUUCCUACCAAUAUAGGAAGACAAGAUCCGCAUCUUCGAUCCACUUCCUACCAAUAUAGGAAGAUAGGACCUGCUAUCUUCGAUCUACUUCGCCACCAGUAUGGGAAGACAAGAUCCGCAUCUUCGAUCCACUUCCUACCAAUAUAGGAAGACAGGACCUGCUAUCUUCGAUCUACUUCACGCUAAUACAUGAAGACAAGAUCUGCUUUCUUCAAUCUACUUCGCCACCAGUAUGGGAAGACAAGAUCUGCAUCUUUGAUCCACUUCCUACCAAUAUAGGAAUACAGAACUUGCAUCUUCGAUCCACUUCCUACCAAUAUAGGAAGACAGGACCUGCUAUUUUCGAUCUACUUCACGCUAAUACAUGAAGACAAGAUCUGCUUUCUUCGACCAGCUCCACUACAAAUGAGGGAGGCAAGGUUUGUAUCUUCGAUCUGCUUCGAUGUCAAUGCAGGAAGGCAAGAUCUGUUGUCUUCAACCAGCUCUGCUACAACCGAGAGAGGCAAGGUUUGAGUUUUCGAUCUGCUUCGCUGUCAACGCAGGAAGGCAAGAUCUGUUGUCUUCAACCAGCUCUGCUACAACCGAGAGAGGCAAGGUUUGUGUCUUCGAUCUGCUUCACUGUCAAUGCAGGAAGGCAAGAUCUGUUGUCUUCAACCAGCUCUGCUACAACCGAGAGAGGCAAGGUUUGUGUCUUCGAUCUGCUUUGCUGUCAAGGCAGGAAGGCAAGAUCUGCUAUCUUUAACCAGCUCCACUGCAACCGAUGAAGGCAAGGCUUUGUUUUCGAUCUGCUUCACUGUUAAUGCAUGAAGGCAAGAUCUGCUAUCUUUAACCAUCUCCACUACAACCGAUGGAGGCAAGGCUUUGUUUUCGAUCUGCUUCGCUGUUAACACAAGAAGGCAAGAUCUGAUGUAUUAAUUGAUCUGUUCUCUAGGGAACAUGACCUAUAGAAUCCAUUUUAUGGACCUAUUUAUGCUUAGUGUUUAGGAUGACAUGAUCAAAAUAAAUCAAAUGCUCCUAACUAGAUAUGUAUAAAUGAUAUUUGCAUGAAUGUAGAAUGUCAUGAGAAUGAUCCCUUUUUAAAGUUUGGGUUGUCGUUGCUCGUUGUUCGUCAAGGUUCUAUCACUGAUGUUUUCCCGUUCAGUAAGUAUCUUUGACAGAAGAUUCAAAGAAAUAGUCUCAAUUUAGACUAUCCUUUCUCAAAUGUUUCCAACCUUUAGGUUUGGUUAGUUCUAAACAAUAGUCCUAUUUCAGGUCCUCGUAUUAUUUAAAAACUUUCAGAGUAAUAUGCAGAACUCCUUCUGCAUGAGUAUUGUCAGUCCAUUAAUCGUUAUUUCAAUGAAAAAUGCUUGAAAGAUUAUCAAAAUGGACAAAGUGAAAUUUUGUUGAGAGCAAAGCUCUAAACAAACAAAUCAAUCAAGAUAGCAAAUUUUGCUGAGAUACGAGAUGAAUAAGAUGAAAAAGAUUAUCACAAUGGAUAAGAUGAAAAUUUGUUAAGAGCAAAGCUCUAAAUGAACAAAUUAAUCAAGAUAGCAAAUUUGCUAGAAUAAAAAAAAUGAGAAUAAAUUAAUCAAGAUGGCGUAUUUUGUUAAAAAUACAAAAAAUGAACAAAAUGGAAAUAGGUGCCCCAGAUAUCAUAGCAUGAGCUUCUCUGCCCCAAACUUCUUGAGGACAUUUUGGAACUUGAUAUGUGUUUAGAAGUCCUAGAAGACUUGGUUGAUGCCCCAAGAUGUAGCAUCUCUCCUUAUUAUUAAUUCGGAGAGGGCAAGACUACUGCAUGUCCCACUUUUGAUCACAAUUUGAACUGCCCAUUCUUGGGUUUUCAAUUCAAAACCCUUUUGGUCUCAAGGCGCCCUUUGCGGGUUUUCACCUUGGCCUCUCCUUUUUCUUUUUUUGUUCUUCUUCUCUUUUCUUUUUCUUUUUGUUUUUUUCUUUUUUUCAAGUGAAGUAUAUUGCUUGAAUCAGAAUUCUCAAGAUUAGGCAGGUUUAUGCCAUCCAUCCUGGUUAAUAUCGACGCUUCUUCAAAUAAGGCAUUCCAUAUAAGGUCCUCUCCAGUUUGGCAUCCACUUUCCUCUGAAGUCCUUUUGUAUGAGAAGGAUCUUCUUCGAUAUUAGGUCCCCUCAUGGAAUUCUCUAGGGCGAACCUUUUUUAUGAGCUCGCAUCAUUUGCUUUUGGUACAUUUGACCAUGACGGAUAGCUUUUAACCUUUUCUCUUCAAUUAUAUCGGACCUGGAUCCAUUCUGCUUCAUCCAACUUCAACUCUGACAAGACUCGAAGGGAAGAAAUAUUACCUUUGAUGGGUAAGACUGCAUCUAUUCCAUAUACUAAUGAGAAAUGAGUUGCCCCGGUGAGGUCUUUUCUUUUAUUUUUGGUCUUUUUUUAUUUUUUUACUUUUUUUAUUUUUUUGUUUUUUUUGUUUUUUUGCCUCCACUGAGUCGUUCAUUUUGGGGCGACAUGGUGGUGUUAAUCUUGAACAGACCCGCCAACUUCUGAUGUCGUGCGGUUGUUCAAAUUCAAUGCAUUGUCUAAUAUGAUCCUUUUUGGCAUUCCAUAUUGACAUAUGAUUCUUCAAGAAAAUUACUGAUUGUCUACUUUGUGAUAUUGACAUAUGAAACAACUUCUACCCACUUUAUGCAGUAAUUGAUGACCACAAAGAUGAAUCGAUAACCGCCAGAAGCUUUUGGCGAGGUUGGCCCAAUGACAUUCGUGCCCCUCAUAGAGAAAGUCAAUGGAAAAGUCAUAACAUGAAGAGAUAAAGGAAGCACAUAAAUCUUGUCUCCCUAGAUUUGGCCCUUGUGGCGUUUCUUGGUAUAACUGAUGCAAUCCUCUUCCAUGGUGGACCAGCAGUACCCAUAUAUCAAGAUUUACUUGGCCAUUGCAAAAUCAAUGCAUGUGUUCCUCGGAUACCCUUAUGGACAUUUUCUAAUACUUUCUUAGCCUCAACAGCAUCCACACAUCUUGGUAGCUCAGGUAUAUCUUGAUCAUACGAUAACAUCCUUGAAUCCUUAGAGUAACUUAAUGACAUCUCGCUUUGUCUUUGCAGUGAUACAGGCUCUGAUUUUCACCUUUUUCUCCUCUCCUAAGCUCACAAUUUCCCACUGAUUUUUUGUAAGGUAAGAUCUAUUUUUCGACUUGCUCUACCAUCCUUAACAAAUCAGGAGAUAAGCUACAGUCUCGAUCAUCUUCGAAGUUUUGAGGUUCCUCUAGACACAUAUCUUGCUCAAAAGAAAGUUCUGAUUCAAUAGCAAUGUCACUCAUAUCGCUGAUAUCUGGAGACCUAUUUUAGGGAACGAAAGAAGACUCAAAGAACUAAUGAAUCAAAAGGGGAUUAUUUGUGUGGUAUGAGUAUGAAUGAAAUGGAAGGAACAAAAGAAUGUUUGCCAAAACAAGACAUAAAGAUGCAUUUCGUUGAAAUAAAGAAUAGCGGACAUGUGCCCUUUUCACAAAAGGAUUUUCUAUUGCUCCCAGGCUUAGAGCAAUAAGAGCGUUCCAAAUAUCACUCUGAAAUGAUCUUAAAAAAAUUACAAGAAUCUCCUCUACAGUCCAGUUGUUUAGAACGCCUCUAGGGAUGUAGAAACAAAUCCCUGAUAGGUUUUUUAGUUCUUUCUUCAAAGGCACAAACAUCUUUACUUUCUAAUCCAUCGAUAUAUUCAAAGAAUUCCAAUUCUUUUUCAUCUAUCUGGCUCUGUACUAAAUUUCUGAACUCAAUGCACUUUUGGAUUUUAGGAAAUUUAUUGUAUGCAAUGAAAUGUAAUGUUAAUGAAUGAAAAGAUGCUUGCAAUGAAAUGUAAUGCAUAUGCAUGAAUGCAAAAAGAGGCGUUGAUCUUUAUUCAAUUCUAUUGGAACAACUUUUCUAGAAAAUAAAUCUCUUUACAUAAAAUGGAUACAUAUACGGCUUUGCCCUCAUAGGCAGGGACAUUCGAUCCUCUUAUUCAUUCGAGCGUUAAGAUAAAUCUCACGAACUUUUCAAAAGGGAUGUCUCUUUUAUCUCCUUCUUGCUUGAUCCGGGCUGAGACUCGUUGCUCACUCAUCCUCAUGAUGCUCGUUGGCUUCUCUUUACGAAAGUUCAGCGGCUCUCGAAUAAUCCUUGUCACCUUGAAUUCUCGGGCAACGGAGCAAUGGUUGUAUAGUCCUCCAUUAAACUAUCAUCCUUCUCUUAUCACGUUUUCUUGGACCAUAUUCGGACAACCGUAUUAUUAUCCACUUUAUCAAGAAACCCAUUUCCUUAUGACAAGCUCUCUAUUUAACAACUGAACGUGAAUCAACACCUCUUUUUUAUGAUGAAAAUGCAAUGCAAUCAUAACCAAAAAGACAACAGGUUAGUACAAAGUAAAAGCAAGCAAGAAUAAAUAGAACACCUAUUUGGGUGACCACUAGGGGUUUGAAGUGGUUCUACCUAGGGUGGCUCUUAAGGUAUUCUACAUGUGGUUUGGCUCUAGAGUAAGGGUACCCGAACCAGCAGAUUCCUCGAUUCUCACCCAUUAUAGGCUCAUAUGGACCGAGUUCAGUUCAGGGGGAUACAUUUCCCUAUGGCUGGACGGAAAUGAAGAUCUCACGAAGACAUAGGUACGGAUGUAUCCCGAAAGCGAUCCACCAUCCUGCGUGGAGGUGAAAACCUCACGAAGGACUAGUUUCUCACUCCCACUUAAAAGGGUGCGACCGUAGGUCAUGCAAUGCAAUGCAGCAACAUACCAAGCUUAAACUACCACAGCGAUCAAAUCACAAUGAUAAAAACCGAAAUAGAGACGAAUGAAAUGCAAAGAAAGAAUCGAAUUUUAAACCAAGUUAUCGAUUUUCGACAAAAAGACAAAAAGUAAUCAACUCGUGGCUUGACUCACUUAUUUUGGCUCCCCAGUGGAGUCGCCAAGCUGUUGACACCAUUUUUUUUGUGAAAAAGGGGUCGACUUGGGUUUUGAAAAAAAUAAAAACGAAAAUAGGAGUCGCCACCAAUCCUUUUUUGAUGAGGUGUGAUCGGGUCACCGAAAAGUGGUUGUUUUCAAUAAACGAUUUAAUUUUUAUUAAAACAACGAUUUUGGUCUACGAAAUUCAGAAAAACGGGUUCGGGAGUCGGUUACGCACGAGGAAGGAUUAGCACCCUCGAUACGCCCAAAAAUUGGUACCUAGUUGAUUACUUAAUGUCUUGGUGUCGAAAAUUAAAAACUCGAAAAGAAUUUAAAAAUACGAUCCCUCUUCAUAUUGUGUUAUCUUAAAAAAUUACUCGAAUAAAUCAAAAUGAAAAAUGCCUCCUUAUCUCGAAUUAACAAGAUGUCACAUUCAGUAAGUUAGGACACGACACCUCGUAUUUUUUAGAGUAAACUUGCCUUUUAUUUUUUAUUUAAACCUCAUAUAUUUUAAUUUUCAAAGGAUAUUUGGUUAUUUAGGAUCAACGCGAGAAAAAUCGAAGCUCAGUAAGUUAGGGCACGAUUUUCUCGAAUUUUCUAAAUACGAAAUAUUGCCUUUAUUUUCGAAAUUUUUAUUUUUGGAAAUUUAAAAGGAUAUUUUGCUAUUUAGGUUUAACGAGAAAAUCGAGACCCAGUAAGUUAGGGUACAAUUUCUCGAAUUUUCUAAAUAUGAAAUAUUGCCUUUAUUUUCGAAAUUUUUACUUUUGGAAAUUUAAAAAGAUAUUUUGCUAUUUAGGUUUAACGAGAAAAUCGAGACCCAGUAAGUUAGGGUACAAUUUCUCGAAUUUCUAAAAUGCAAAAUAUUACCUUAUUUUCGAAAUUUUACCCUUUUGAAUUUGGAGUACGAAUUAAUGGAAUUUAAAAAAACAAAUGCGUGCAAUUUUGAUUAUAUUUGAAAAGAAAUUGUUCAAAACAGAAAGAAUGUCAUACACGACCUAUAAUGAAUAUACAACGUACAUUUAAAAUCCAUGACAUAAUAUGCAUCAUAAAAUAUAUACAAAGCAUUGAUACUAAUAAAUCCUAAUGUUAACAUGCAUGACAAAGACAAUAAUAAGAGUACAAAUAAUAAUAUGGGGAACAAUAACAAAGAGAAUAAUAACAAUAUAAAUGAUAAUAUGGAGAAUAAUAAGAGCGAUAUAGCAAAAAUAAGAGUAAUAAAUAAUAACAACAAAUAAUCAAUAAUAAAUAAUAAACAAAACGUGAAAACAAAAUAAAGGAAAUAUUAAAUAAAAUAUUUGAUAACUGUUUUUUUCCUUUUUUUAUUUUUAAAAAGAAUAAAAUUUGAAUUUAAAUCAAUUGGGGACCAAAUGGGAAUUAAAAUAAAGUCAGUGGGCGAAAUUUGAACCAAAAAGAGCAAUCUGGGGUCAAUUGAAACGCAUGCAAAGUCACGGGGACCAAGUGGGAAAUUAAUCCCGAUCCCUAAGGCGAGUCGUUUUGUGCGGGACCUAAUUGAAACGGGUUCAAAAUUUCCGGGGUCAAAUUAAGAAGGGCUAAAAAGGAUAAAAGGACUGCAUUGAAGACAGAUAACAAAAAUGAAGGAUCCACAGCGCAAAUAGCCCAUUCGGCCUUGACAACGCGCGGAUCCUCUGUUUAACCGGGUCGGGUCGCGGGUCAGAGGCGAAAACGGCGUCGUUUUGGCUAUUAAUGCUUAAGCCCAAAACGGCACCGUUUUGGUCUCCAUAUAAAUAGGAAAAAACCGAAAAAAAAUCAUUUCACUUUCAUUUUUUAACAAAAACAGAGAGAGAGUCUCUAAGAUUCUCUCAACACUCUCAGCCCUCAGAAUUUGGCGAGGACCCAGUCACCGGAGCACCAGCGGCCGCCGCCGUGCACGGCGGUAGGACGCCCAAAGUUCGUCGCCUUUCGGUGAUUUCAAAGGUACACCUCUUUUUCUUAUUUUAUUUUCGUGUUAAAAAGAAACAAAACAUAAUAAAUAAAUAAAAAAUGGAAAAGAACAAUCGGGGAAGACUAAAAAACAACUCUCAAACUUUCGUUUUCUGUUUGUUUUUUUUAUUUUCGUUUUUAAAAAAUUAAAAAAAAACAACAAUGAAAGUAAAGAAAAAGGAAAGAUUCAAGCAAAAAAACUAGGAAAUCACCUUAGUUUUUUUUUUCUUAGUGUUCGUAAAGAAAAGAAGAAGAGCCAUACAAGGAAGAGAUUUUCGGCUUUUAUAGCCGAUCUACACAACUUUUAAUUUCUAUUUCUUUGUGUUUUUGCUAUUUGUUUCUUCCGUUGUUGCGUGCCUUUUGCAUUCAAUUUUUGCAGGUGUCAGAGCAUACGGAGGAAAGGCGGCUAGGAGCGGCGGUAGCCAGGCAUGGCAGAGGAGGCGAAACGGCGUUGAGGCUGGAGCCUGGGCAUGCGGGGCAUGCGGCGCAUGGAGGCUUGGGGGCUAGGGUUUGGUACUGCUGAAUGGGGUUAAUUUUUGGGCUAGGGUUUCUUAAUUUGGGCCUGUUGGGUAUUUUGGGCCACUGUUUAUUUUGGACUGUGUGUUUUUUUGCUGGUAUUGGGCUUUAGUGUUUUGGGCCCCGGGCAAAAUUUGGGUUUUACAUGAGUAGUUUGAUAUUCUGAUUCAAUCUUGUUCCGAAGAGCUUCAGUAGAGAUCUCGUCCAGGAGGUCCUCGGCAUCAUAAACAGCAUCUUUGAGCUCAUCGGUCCAACUUUUGACAUUUGGGUUGGCAAUCUGCUUAUUUUCAGCAUCAUCCAACACUGCUUUCACCGACAUCAAGGUUGGCUUGAGUUUCUUCAGUAGCACAACUUCAAGUUUCUUUCCUUUGAUAAGCCUCAGAACAUCGGCAUAAACAAUCCUAUCAAGCAGCACCUCAAUGGAAGCAGAGAGAAAAGCUUCAGCCACCAUAGCCAUGUUUUUUUGUGGGGUUUUUUUCGGUAAAUAAAGGUUUAAAGGAAGAUGAAAAGGGAAGUAAUAACAAAGAAAGGAAAAGAAGAGUGCUUCAACUAAAGAGAAGACACGAUUGCAAAGAUGAAGGAUUUGGAUUUGAAACAGAGAAAGGAAGUGCAAAGCAAAUAGUCAACAAGGAACAGUAGAAGGAUUGGAUGAAAGGGGAAGGCUUUAACUCGCAAAUACUUUAGUUUCAAUAAAUUUGUGUAUAAAAUUUCUUUAUUGGAAUGUUUGAAAAAUGAUUUUGGGUUGAAAAGUAUGGAAAAUUAAUGUAUUACACAAAUGAUGAAAUAAUAUGGAAAACAACAUAAUAAUAUAAAAAUAUCUUGAAAUUUAUAUUUAUAAAUUAAGUAGAUUUUAUUCCUAAGAUUGCAAAAUUAACAAAUCCUUUGUAAUUUGUCUUUUUUAUUUUAAAAAAGGGGUAAAUUAAUCCUCGUACAUUAAAUUAAGAGUAAAAUAAUUAUUCUGUUAAAAUUUUUAUCCAUUUAAAUUAUUAAAAAUUGGUCCUAGUAUAUCAACAUGAGGUAUAUAUGGUAUGUCACAUGUCAUUAUUCGGUUAUUUUAUCAAUCAUAUCAAUUUUUAACAGUACAAAUGGAUAAAAUUUUUAACAAAAAAAAGGAUUAAUUUGUUCUUUGAUCUAACGUAUAAGGACUAAUUUACUCAUCUUAUAUUAAAUGGGACAAAAUAUAAUCUAACUCCUAGUAUAGAGAGCUCCAUAAUAUUUUACGGUGCAAAUUAUAUAUUAACAUAUCAAAAAAUUUAUAUAAAUAUAAAAAUACGAUACAUAUCCAUAAAUUCUUAGAUCUAAUAAUAAUAGCCAAGUAGUUUCAAAUAAAUAAAUCUUAGAAUAAAGAAAUGAGAUUAAUAUUCAUAAAACUAGAUAAAAAGAACAGUAAAGAACUGAUGCCGCCUGACUAAGUGACGGCACCCUCUUAUUUAUUUCAAACCAAAAUACAAAUUUAUUUUAAGAGGAUACGAAAUAAAACAAAAUAAUAAUAAUUUUUUAUUAGUGCGGCCCAGGCGGCAACCUAUUAUUUUUAAAAGGAAAAUUGUUUUUUGUACUCUCCUUAUGUAUAUCCAUAGGGAACUCCCAUAAGCCAUAAGCCAUUAAAUGCUUCCAUCGAGUAACCAGUUCAUGACAAAGGACACCCACCGAGGACAGUGUAGCCAUAGAGCCCCAGAGCUCCAACCCACUAUGAAAUAUCCAACGCCAGUGAAGCACCAAUCACACCCCAAUCCAACACAUUUACGAACACCCAACUCGUCAACACAUUCACCCCUAAAGCACAAAACGAGACAUAGGCUAACACCCUAGUCUUCAACUGGCUUUGCAAGAACCUUUGUAAUGGGAACUGAAACGCAAAGCUAAAGUGCAAAGGUAUCAACCAAAUCGCCACCACCCCCGACAUCUCCCCCACGUCGUCCAGCUGUCCGAAUAGCUUUAAAACCGGGGUAGCAAAUACGUAAAUGGGUAACAACAAAGGAGUAAAACGAUCCAAGAUCUUUGCAUGUAAAGGCCGAACAUGUGGUAUUGUUUAGCACCAAAAGCUUGUCCACAAAGGGUUUCUAAAGCACUCGCCAUCCCUAAUUAUAUUAAAGUGAAAAAAAAAACCUAAUGUUAAGAGACAAAUAUGGUAAAAAGAAAACUAAUGGAACAAAAAAGAAAGUCUCAUCUAAUGAAAAUUUACUAUGAGGCCAAAGUUGAAGCCAACGAUGGCCGUAUUGGCUAUUGAAAUAGCUACAAGUUGAACAUCACCAAGGUGACCAGCAAAAGCUUGGGUUAUAAUGUUCAUGGAGUAGAAGCAACAGGAGUUACAGGACUGAUGAUUGAAGGUCCUACGAUGACCCAUAGCUUCUUUGUUUCGAUCCAUAGCCUUGUACUUAAGUCCUUCUUCCCCAUCUUCAUCUCUCCAUUUAUUUUCUUCUGGUUUUGAUUCUUCAUGAUUUGAACCUGGUUCUGUUAGUAAAGGUUGAUGGUAUUCGCCACUGUUCCCAUGGAUACUAUCCAUUAGAGACAAAGUUAAAAUAAUAGACUAUGGGCUAUCUUAGAUUUGCUUGGGACAAAAAAAUUUUUAAAAAUUAAUAAUAAUAGGGUGCGCCAGGCAAGUUGCCAACCACUAAUAAAAAAAUAUUUUUUCCGAUUUAUUCCACAUUGUAAAAAUUUUGUAUUUUGGUUUAAAAUACAGAUGCUGCUAAUUGAUGAAGUUGCGUCUAAAUUUUUUUUUAGAAAUAAAGGGGUGUCACCGAUUAGUCAGCGGCACCAAUUGUUUAUUAUUGCUUAGUUUCGUGAAUAUUAAUCAUCUUAUCCUAUUUUGGUAUUUAUUUAUUUAUUUUAUAUUAUUUAUGUAAAAAAUACCCUAUAGUAUCUGAACUUGAUUAGAGGUUCAGAAACAAAAACAGCACUAGUAACCCAGAAAUACACCAAUACCCAGAUUAGAGCUGAUCUUGGCCUGGCCAGGCUGAGCUUCAAUAGAAUUUUAGGUCUAUUUUUUAGGCCUAGAUACGACUUGAAAAUGGACCUAAAAUUUUGCCUAAAUUUUCUCGAAUAAAAAUGCUAAUAUCUAAGCCUAGCCCGACCACCCGUAUUAAAAUUGUUUACAUUAUUAUUCUUAUAUAAUACAAAUUUAAAAAUAUAAUACACUAAAAACAUUAAAAUAAAUGUUCCCCAACAAAUUUAAAAUAAAUUUAAAAAAUAUGUACAUACUUAAAUAACACUAAAAUAGGUGUAAUUUAGCAAGCAAAUGCCUAUAAAAUAAUAGCAAAAUUAACAAUAAAACGAGAGUUAUACAAUAUCUAAAUAAUAACAAUAAAAUAGUAACAAUAUAAUAACGAAAUGACAACAAAACAAUGACAAAACAAGAGCAAAACAAUGGCAAAAUAGAAUUAGUUAUUUUUUUGCAAAUUUAGGCCAGGCAAAAAAAAAAAUUACCCAAAACCUAACUCAUUUAGAAAACAAGCCUCAUUUUUUGCUCAAGCUCAUUUUGUGGAUCUGUAUUUUUACUCAAAAUUUCCCACCUUUUAUACGAGCCUUUGUGCUGGCCAAAUGACCCAACUCAUAAUCAGAUCUAAGACCAAGUGAUACUAUAUAUAUAUAUAUAUAAAACAAACCAACUUUAGCAAAUGUAGGUCAGAUAUUUUAGCACAUUAUAAGAAAAUUUGCCUUUUAAGGCAAUGUUUAAAACAUAAAGUUUACUAUUGAAAUUGAAACAUAUUUAAAUAAAAACUAUUGUUUUAUAAAUAAAAGUAUCAUGAAAAUCAAUUAAAAUAUUCAAAAAAGUCAAUUUUUUUUAAAAAAUUACCUGAUUAGGCCUGGCACACGGCCGUGUGGCAUCAACAGUCAUGUUUUUCAGCAUCCGAAAUUCACAAAAACUCGGGUUUUCGGUACGUAGAGGAAGUAAUUUUGAAGUAAGAGCAACGUAAAAUACUCCCGAAGCCUAAAGCGACCAUUCAAUAACAAAAGACCUUCUAGCGGAAAAAGAAUACUCAAUUAUGCAUAGAAAACUAUGUCGAAAGUUUCGACACAAGACCUUCAACAACUCCAGACUUACCAACAACAUCAACAGUGAUUACUCGAGUUAUUGCACUGAGGAUUGUUGCUUUUGAUAUCCUCGCCUAAAAAGAAGCCAAAAGGUCCCUUAAAAGAAGGUUUAAACAAUUUGAGUUGGAAACAACUCAGACAAAAAUGAAUGAACUACCGUAUAACGGAAGUUCUAUGAUUAACGAAAUAGACAAAAUGUGCGGACCAAGCAACAAUUGGAUGAAGAAAAAAAGGAAAAAAGAACAAAAAGAAAUAGAUGAAAAAAAUAAAGAAGAAAAGGAAAAAAAUAGCAAUGGAAAGGAAGAGGGAACGCUUAAUUAAUCUAACCAUCGAUCAAAAUUUCGACAUUAACCAAAAACAUUACCUAAUGCAUACGCAGAGACUCAAAUACUAGACCAGAAAGUAGACAGAUGCUUAGCCAGUUAACCAGCAGGCUCAUUCUUGACUGUGAAAAAAUAGAACGUCGAUAAUGACAAUGUAUCACAAAGAAAAGAGAAAGAAAAAUAAAGAACACACAGAUUUUUAUGUAGAAACCCUUUUGAGAAAAAAAACUACAGGUAAAGGAGAAGAUAAUUCACUAUGUCGAAUUCAAAUGAUUAUAAGAGGAGUAGACUAUGUCUAUUGUAAAACCAUAUUAUAAUAGAAUGAGUGUAGUAAGGUUGAAACAUCUUAUUCUAAUCAAUAUCGAAUAUAUGAAGUGUAAUAAGGUUGAAAAACCUUAUUCUAAAAUAAAAUAAAAGAAGUGUAGUUCUAUAUGGAUUUUACUUUUAUUUUAUUUUACCACAAUAUUUUAUUUUAACAAGGAUUCGGGUCACUCAAUUCUAACAAUCUCCACCUUGACACGAAUUCUCAAUGAAUAAUUUCUUCACCAUGAACUCUCAACGAAUAAGUUCUCCACCUCUUCUAUGAAACCCUUUAAGGGGUAUUUUUCAACAAUGAACACCAACCAAGUCUAAACAAUGCUCAAACUUGGUUAUGGGAAGUGACUUAGUCAUCAUAUCUGCAAGAUUUUCAUGAGUACUAAUUUUGCUCACAAUACCACCACGAGUAAUAAUAUCAUGAACAAAAUGAUACCGAACAUUAAUGUGCUUUGUUCUCUCAUGAAACAGUUGAUCUUUUUAAGCACUCAUUUACAAUGAACAACCUUUUUUCCUUUAGGAAGUUUCACAAGAGCUCAUGUUUUAUUUUUGUUGAGUUAUUCCAUCUCUUUUUGCAUAGUAAAUAUCUACUUUUCUGAGUCUUCACAGCUAACCGCUUCAGAAUAAUUAGAUAGAUCUUCAUUUGCAUCUAUAUCUUUAGCCACAUUUAAAACAUAAGUAACUAGAUCAACAUCGAUAUACUUUUUUGAAGGUUUAAUCUCUCUUCUAGUUCUGUUUUUGAUGAUAGAAUAUUAUGGUAAAGAAGUAAAUCUAUUCUGAAUUUCUAUUCUGGCUUGAGGAGUCAACUUUGUUUUAGAUUCUAGAUUAAUCUGAUGCUCCAUCUACUUUUGCUGUUCUUUAUUAGAAGAGUCUUUAAGAGAUAAGUUAGGUAGCAUAACAGUUUGAUUAAAAACAUCUCUAUUAAUCACAACUUUUCUAUUUUCAAGACACCAUAACUUAUACACUUUUACACCAGUUUUAUAACCAAGAAAAACACAUUUAAUGGAUCUCGGUUCCAAUUUUCCAUUAUCAACAUGAGCAUAUGCAGGACACCUAAAGAUCUUUAAAUCAGAAUAAUCAGCAGGAUUACCAGACCAUACCUCUUGUGGAGUCUUUUUCUCAAUGGCACUUAAUGAAGACCGGUUGAUAAAAAAGCAUGCAGUAGAGGCUGCUUCGACUCAAAAUGACUUUGGUAAGUUGGUAUUCGAUAGCUUACAUCGAACCUUCUCCAUAAUUGUUCUGUUCAUUCAUUCUACAAUGUCGUUUUGCUGUGGAGUAUGACGAACUAUCAAGUAUCUCAUGAUCCCUUUUGACUUGUACAAUUCAUUAAACUCAUCAGAACAGAACUCUAAGCUAUUGUCUGUGCGAAUGUGUUUUAUUUGAUUUCCCCUUUAUUUUUCAAUCAUAGUUUUCCAAGACUUAAAUGUAGAAAACACAUCACUUUUCUACUUUAGGAAAAAUGCCCAAACUUUUCUGGAAAAAUCAUCAAUAAGUGUUAGCAUAUAAUUAGCUCCACAUUUCAAAGGCACACUAGAUGGCCCCACAAAUCAGAAUGAAUAUACUUUAACAUUCCUUUCAUGUUGUGGAUUUCUCUGCUGAAUCAAACUCUCUUUUGCUUCCCAAAAAGGCAAUGCUCACAGAACUUUGGUUUGCAAAUUUCUUACCCAUCAAGAAGUCUUUUUUUGUUCAAUUCUGUCACACUAUUCUCAUUCAUAUGCCCUAGGCGCAUAUGCCAAAGUCUAGUAACAUCAUCAUCUGAUAAGGAAGAGGAAGCGAUAGUUGCAUCACCAAUAAUCGUAAAACCCUACAAAACAUAUAACUUGACAGUCUUUCUUUGUCCUUUCAUCACAAUAAGGGAACCUUUGAAAUUCUUCAAAACUCCUCUUUAUGUUGUAUAUUUGUACCCUUUUGAAUAAAAAGUACUCAACGAAAUCAAAUUUCUCUUCAAAUAUAGAACAUGACGCAUGUCACUAAGUGUUUUGACAACUCUGUCAAACAUCUACUUUUCUUAGUCUGCAGAGCUAACUGCCUCAUCUCUUCAUCCGUCAAUGUCAAAGGCAUUUUAUCUAUCCGUAGCAGAGCAUCCUCUAAGUCCAUCUGCGCAAGAAUUGUCUACAUCUUUAUCUAUCACAACACAAAUCUGGUUUUCUAAUCCAAUAGUGAAAUUUCAUACCUCAAAGAUGUCAUUACCAUGAUUGAGAUGAACAACCUGGAAACUCUGAUACCAAUUUGUGAAAAAAUAGAACGUCGAUAAUGACAAUGUAUCACAAAGAAAAGAGAAAGAAAACUAAAGAACACACAUAUUUUUAUGCGGAAACCCUUUCAAGAAAAAAAGCACGGGUAGAGGAGAAGAUAAUUCACUAUGCCAAAUUCGAAUGAUUACAAGAGAAGUAAACUAUGUCUAUUUAUAGGCUUGUAAAACCAUAUUCUAAUAGAAUGAGUGUAGUAAGGGUGAAACACCUUAUUUUAAUUAAUAUAAAAUAGAUGAAAUGUAAUAAGGUUGAAAAACCUUAUUCUAAAAUAAAAUAAAAGAAGUGUAGUUUUAUAUGGAUUGUACUUUUAUCUUUUUACCAUUGUAUUUUAUUUUAACAAGGAUUCGGGUCACUCAAUUCUAACAAUCUCCACAUUGACACGAAUUAAAUCUAAGUCAGUGGCCCAAGAGUAGAGAUUAAUUAAAAUUAAAUUAGAAGAACUUCUAAAGAUGCAACUUGAACUCCUGACCUCAACCACAUAAACAGAGCACAUAACAACAGAUACAAAGACUUAAUUACUAUAGAAUCCCACAAAUAAACAUUCAAAUUUUUAGGGCGUUACCCAGCAUAUGGAUUAUGUGUAACACCCCUAACCCGUAUCCUUCUCCAGAAUAGGGUUAUAGAGCAUUACCGGAGUUUACAAAUUAAUUUUCAGACAUUUCAUUUCAUCAAGCAUUCAUAUUUAUAACCAAUCAAAAUCAGAACAUUUAUGAGCUAACAUUGACUAAUUUAACUUAUACAAGUCAUUAUAACCAGAAUCAAAUCAUCCAAAAUUACCGAUAGAACCAAUGGAUAAUGUAAUAUAUCUUCAACAAGCUUCCGAUAAUCAUUUCAAAACAUCUAACAAUUAUACAUAGUACCAAUAAUAACUCAAUUCCAAUAAUAAAACACAAAUAUAUAAUAUUCAUUACCAAAUAGAAUUCACUUUAAUUAAAAUUAUACAAAAUAUAGUUCAUACGAACUUAACAGACUAAAUUGCAGAAAUACCAAAAUUCAGGGGCAUUUUGGAAAGUUUCUAUUUUUCUCGAAUUUCUACCCAAUUUUGAUCUAAAUUAAUAUUUCAUUCAAUUUACUAAUUUAAAUAAUAAAACAAUUCAUUUCAUGCAAUUUGGUCACUUUUUUGACAUCUUUACAAAUUUACCCUUAAAGUUUCUCAUUUGUUCAAUUUAGUCCCUAAACCUAAAACAUGUAAAUUGGUCAUUUUUAAUGAAAACUCAUGCUAGUUGAAUAAUCAUAUAUUUUCCUCCUCCAGACUCCAUUCCACAUCCUUAAUGUAUAUAACAUGCUUAUAUGUAACAUUAUCUAUAAUUUCACCAUUUAUUCAUAUAUUCAUUCUAAAUUGUCCACUUGAGUCAUAGUCACUAAAUUAUUUAUAUCUUGAGCUAUAGAACUAAAAAUUGAGAUCCGUUAAUUUUAUAUGAAACUAGACUCACAUAUCUUCUUACCAUAAAAUUUUCAGAAAAUUUAGUUCAGCCAAUAAGUACAGUUUAUUCUUUAAAUUCAUCCCUGUUCUGCUGUCUGACAGUUCCGACCCUUCUUCACUAAAAAUUAAUUAUUUCCUCGUACAGAAUUCGAAUGAUGUUACCGUUUGUUUCUAUUGAAAAUAGACUUAUUAAGUAUUUAAAUAUAUAAAUUUAAGUCCAUAAUUAUUUUUCUCAAAUUUUUUAUGAUUUUCCAAAUUCAGAACAGGGGAACCCAAAUUCAUUCUGACCUUGUCUCACAAAAUUUAUUAUAUCUCAUGAUUUACAAUUCUGUUACUUAUUAUAUCUCAUGAUUUACAAUUCUGUUACUUACACCGUUUCUUCUAUGAGAAACGAGACUCAAUAAGCUUCAAUUUCAUAAUUUUUUUAUCCUCUAAUUCGAUUUUCACAAUUUAUGGUGAUUUUUCAAAUUUAACCUACUGUUGCUGUCAAAAACUAUUUUAAUGCAAGAUAUUGAUUACUAAGUUUAUAACUCCCUUAUUCCCUUUCUCUAUAAUAUUUCCCAUCACUUUCACUUAUUUCCGUUCACUAAUAUAUCAAGAAAAUAAGACUUUAUAUAAGAAAACUCUACUAGAACAUCAUUUCUAUGCUUUUUCAAUAAUAUCAAACUUAAAAACAUAUUGAAAUCUUGAUGUUCUUACCUUGUCCUAUUGGUUUCAAUCUUUAACUUGAUUUUCUCUCUCCUCCAGCUUCUAUUUCUUUAAUCUAACUUGAUAUUCUAGCUCCCCAUAGUCUUCUUGUUAUUUUUCUCUCUUGAUGGCUAUAAAAAUUCUUUUGAUUUCUAGGUGAAAAUAGUAAAUUUUUGGAGGAAGGACCAAAUUGUAAAGAAAGCAAAACUUUCUUUCUUUCUUUCUCUCAUCUUCACGUUGGUGCAUGGGAAGAUGAUGGCUUGGUUCCCUUUUUCAUCUUUUUUUCCACAUAUAUAUAUUUUAAAUAAUAAAAUAAUAAAAUAUCAUUAAAAUAUUAAUAAACUAAUAUUUAUUUAUUUAUUUAAUCUAAAAUAUCUCCAACAUCAUCAUUAUCUUCUAGAUUACUCUCUCUUCUAAAUGACCAUUUUGCCCUUCAUGAUCUUUUAAAAUUCCAUCCUUGAGUCAUCACUUAAUUUGGAAAAAUUAUGAUUUAAUCCCUCAUAAUUUUUCACCUAUUCAAUUAGGUCCCAAUUCAUCCAUUUUCUUUAGUUUCUAGAUUAUUCCACCCUUAAAAUAUUUACACUAUUGGUCCUUCAAACUUUUCAUAUUUACACUUUAACCCCUCAAAUUUUAAGUAUUUACUCUUGGGCAACAAAACUUUUCUCACUUUUGCAAUUUAAUCCUUUCUUGAAUUAAUAUGUCAUAAUAUACUUUCCAAUGUUGACAUAACUCAAAGUUACCAUUUUUAUCACUUUAUUUCCUUAUUUACUAUAUCAGGAAUAUUAUCUUAUUUUUUUACUGUAGUAAAUUUUUUUUUGGGGUAUUACAUUAUGAGUCUAUAUAUACACACAUAUCUACAUCUCACAUGCUUAAGAAAAUAAGAGAAAUGAGACUUUGGGUCUAGAAACAAGCGUUUUCUAAAAUUUGGCCUAUUCCUUUAAGUUUUACAUAAAUAAAGCUAUUCAUGUAAAUUUUUUAAUUUUUCGACAUUUAUUAGUAAACUAGUCAAUGUUUUUAAUCAUGAAUAUAAUUUUGGGUUUAUAUGAAAUAUGCAGGGCAAGAUAGUAAUGUUAUUAUUAUUGUGUAUAUAUAUUAUAUAUGCAUAUCAAUGAUUUUGAGGAUUAAUUCAUGAUUAUAGUAGGUGUUCAUAACCAUUAUUCAUUGUUACGAUGAUUUGGUGCAAACUCAUGUAAACUAUAAUACAGGUUUAAAGAAUUUGGUUUUUCAAGUUUGAUUUUAUAAUAUUUGGUUUUGGCAUUUUAUGGUUCCAAAUAUUUGGUCAAAUUAUGAUAUGAUUUACGAAAUGAAUUGUGAGAUAUACCAACUAUUACAAAAUUUGGGUUAAGAGUUAGAUUUUGGAAUUUCAAAUUUUAAAAUUGAAUAUAAAACAUUAAAAAAAUUGUAUUAUAUCUUCUUUCACACUUCCUUCAAAACUUAAACAAUAAAUAAUAAAUUUUGUAACAGCCCAUUUUCAGUGAAAUCAAAAUAGUGGUUUCGAGACCACAAAUUCGACAUGAAAAUAUUUAUUUUUAUUAAUAUUUUAGUGUCUACAGUAGGUUAGUAGUGUCGUACAAAAAUUUUGUUAAGAAAUUUUGACGUUUGCAUCUUAAUUAAGUAAAAAAAAAGGAUUAAAUCGUAAAAGGUGAAAAAGUGCAGUUCAAUUAGAUAAAGGCAUUAAAUUGCUAUGAAAUUUUAGUUUGAGUGACUUAAAUGAUAAUUAAACCAUUUUAUGAGUUAAUGGACAUAUAUGGACAUCAUUUUAAUGAUGUUAAAGGUUUAUAAUAAAGGUUAAUUUAGUAAAUAAAUACAAAUUAAAUCAAUUAAAAGAAAACUAAAUGUCUAUCUCCUCCAAGUUCUUUCUCCACCGUAAUUUAGAAGAGGAAGAAGCCUUUUUAGGGUUUUUCCAUUCGGCCAUAGUCUAUCCUUGCAUGUAAGUGCAAUUUUGUCCCGUUUUUAAUUAUUUCUAUGUUUUUGAAGUCAUUAUAGCUUAAUCUUGCUAGCCUAGGGGCUAAUACGCAAAAUUGUUAAAAGUAUAGGGUUUUGCCAUGAAUUUCCUAGCUUGAUAUUUGUAGUUUAAUGAAAUAUUAUGAAUUUUUGUUGAUAAAUAAACAACUUUUGCAAAGUGAUUUUUGUUGAAAAUGUCAAAUCGAGACUUGAUUGUAAAAAUAGUAAAAAUGUAUGGUGAAAUUGUGAAAUAAUGAUUUGUAUGAAUUAAUAUGUGUUCAUGAAGAAUUCAGCUAGCUUGGGUUAGGGAUGAAACUGCAUGAAUUUCAAUUUACGAGCAUAAAGACUAAAUUGUAAAAAGUUAAACUGUUAGGGGUACAAUUGUAAGUAUGCAUAAAUGUGAUUUGUGGAUUGAAUUGAAUAAUUGAGUUUGAUUGAAACACUUAAUUGAAUAUUAUUAUUUAUUUAGAUUAAGAUAAAUCUCAACCAGAUUUAAAUUGAGGAAAGGCGAAAGUCACAGAUUAACUUGAUUGUACUCCUACGCACUAGUUGCCAAUGUAAGUUCAUAGUAGUUAAACGUAUAAUUGAUUUUCCAUAUGUAUUUUUACCUUAUAAAUAUGUAAUUAAAUGUUAAUGUAAAUUAUAACCUAUUUGUACUUCAGUACCUCUGAUUGCACAUACGUGCCCUUGUUCGUACUUCCGUAUCCUUGAUUGCACUUAUGUGCCCCUGUUUACAUUUUCGUAAUUUCAAUCAAGUAAAAUAAGAAUUGUGUUCAUUUGAUGCUAAGUUUAAAAGAUUUACUAUGUUCUUACUGAGCUUUGUAAGCUUAUAGGUUUUUGUGUAUCAUUUUGUAUAUUGUUAUUGCUAACCUUUGGACGGAUCGAAUCUUCAGCUCACACUAUCCAUCAUUGUUGGUAGCUCUUAAACUCUUUAGGGUUGUGGCAUGUAUAUGUGGCUAUUUAGUUUGUUUUGGUAUAAUAUGGUGAAUUACUAAACUAGGUGAUUAGGUACUUUUCUAUGUUUGUGAAUAGAUAUCUUUUGGUACAAAUAGAAUGUUAUGAAAGUAAACACUUAUGGAUUGUUUUGGUUUGUUGAUGGAAUAAGUUGUUAUGUUUGGUUUAUAAAUAUGGUAUAUUGGAUGGUGUGCUUUUGGCACUUUGAUGCUUAAUGGAUUGUUAUGGAUAUGAUCAAUUUGGUAUGUCUGAAUUGUGGUUAAUUAUGAAAUGAUUAGGUAUGUUUUAUGUAUGUGUUUGAGUUGUCUAUAUGACGUAUUGGUUAUAUGGAUUAUUAGCUUAUUGUAUGGAUAUUUUUUUGUAGGUUUUGAGCAUGUUUAUGAGUUUUGAUCAUGUGUGCAAAAGUGCCUAAGUUUAUGCUUGUGAAGGAUAAAAGAAAUGACUUGAUUUUAGUCAUUUUCUUGUCCACACAGCCAAAGACAUGGGUGUGUGUCUUAGCCGUGUAUGACAUACGGCCACGUGAAAUGGUCGUGUGUCCCUUAUAGGUUUCAAAGGGUGGUAAGUCAGGCAGUUACACAGCUUGGCACAUGGGCGUGUUAGGCCAUUUUGAUAGUUACACGACUUGACACACGGGUGUGUGGCUUGGCCGUGUAGCCCAAGUCAGAGAGAUACACGGGCACAAACACAGGCUAGGACACGGCCGUGUGUCCCUACUUUUAAUGUCCACACGGCCUGAGACAUGAGUCGUGUGAGUUACACAGCCAUGUGACCCCUGCAGUAUGAAAUUUUCUAACUAUUUCCAUAUUCUUUCAUAUGUCCCCAAUUUAGUCCUGAAUCAUUUUUAAACUAUUUUUAAGGCCUCAAGGGUUCAAAUAAAGGAUGAUAUGUAUGUGUUUGAACAAGUUAUGAUAUGAUUUAUGAAAUGUUUGCAAACAAAUUAUUUAAGUUGCAUAUUUACAUUAAUGCUCUGUAACCUUAUUCUGGAGACGGAUACAAGUUAGGGGUAUUACAAAGUUUACUGAUAAUAUAUCGAUGAAGUUCAAGGGUUUCAAAAUUGGAUUGGUAGGCAAACUAUAGACCACUAGUUCAUGGUUUAACUGGUUCAAUCGAUCCAAUUGAUUCAAUUGAAUAAAUUAUUAAAAAUAAAAAUAUUUAAAAAUAAAUAAAAUCAAUUCAAUUGUCAAUUUGAGUGAGUCAAUUGGUUUAACCAGUUCAUGAGUCAACCAAUUUGACCUUUUAUUCCAAACUAGUAUCUCGAACGAUUCCCAAUCCGAUCGAUUUGACCAGUCAAUCCGAUUUGGUUCUUAAAACAAUAACAAAACUUCAUGUGUUUAAUUUAAUACAUUAUAAAUAUGCUAAAUUUUCAUUUAUAUGAUAAUUUUCACAAUUUUAAUUUAUAAACCCUAGACUUUUAAUUAAAAUCUAAGUAAGUACAAAAAAAUUUAUAUGAUUGAACUAAUUAGGCCACCAGUUUGCUAGUCCAAUCGGUUUAAUCAGUUUGACCGAUACGAUCGGUUCGACCAAUCUACCUGAUUCUAUUAAAUAAAUCAUUAAAAAAUCAUAAAUAUAAAAAUAUAAAAAAUAUUAUUUUAGUUCAACCGGUUCAACUGCAUAACCAAUCGGUUAGUAUUGAUUCCUGGGACAGCUCGUUUAAUGACUUUCGUCAAACAAGUACUUUGGCUGAUUCCCAAUUCGAUUGGCCAAACUAAUCUUGUUCAAACAAUAAUGUUCAAAAUCCUCCUAAAUAAUUAAAUCUUAAAGAAAAAACAUUUUUAAAACUUAAAAUUAGUUGAAAUCCAAAUCAAUAAAUUUAAAUCAAUUCAAAAUUUUAAAUUUCAAAUAUUUUUAUUACCAAAUAAAAUAUUUAAAAAUAAUGAAAUCAUAAAUUUCGAACUUAGAAAUUGAUAUUUCAAUUCUCAAACAAUAGCUAAUAGUUUGGACGGGUUUGCAGCACUCACAAAAUCAUUUAAUACUUAGUAACACAAGAAUGCACCUUAAUUGCUCUUUUUUUUUUUUAACCAUGUUUUUGGUUGUUUACAAAUAAUUUUGCAUAAAGAAAAAAAAAUCAUAUUAUAGCAUAACCAAUAGUAUUAUUCUAAAUUAGAAAAUCUUAUUAUAAGUGCAUACGUGUAAAAAUUACAAAUUUAGAAUAUAGAUAUAUGUUUAAAAAUAUCAUUUAAUAAUAAAUAAUGAAACUUAUGGUUUGAAACUAAUUAAUCAUAACAACACAUGAAAUAUAUAUGAUACUAAAAUUAAAAAAUAAAUUAAAUUAUGAGUAAAAUGAAAUUAACCACAUACAUACAUCAGAUAAAUCAUAAUUAAUUUUAAAUUAAUUACACAUUGAACUGGAAAAGAAAAACCGUUCAUAUCCUUUUUCUUUUAGUUUUCUUUUCCAUUUUGAUUGAAAAAAAAAUUUAUUCUCAUCCUAGUUAGACAUCUAAAUUGGCAUUUAAAACUCAUUUAGACCGCCACGUAGAAUUGCUUUUAGGGAGGUAACGGAGCUUAACGGCAGAAUGAGUACUACUUCGUAACAAAACGAUAACAUAAGUAACUAGAAUGUAACAUUUCAAACAUAAGUGACUAAAAUGUAAUAUGAGGAAAACAAAAGUGACUAUUUUUGUCGUUUAUCGUAUUAUUAAUUUUUUAUUUAAAAUUUAAUUUAAUUAGAAUUAAAUUAAAAUAUAAUUUUUUUAGCAAAAUUUGAUUAAUAACUUAUCCCUACUAAUUAUUUGAUUGUUAAAAUUCAAACUAUUUAUGCAAAGUUUUUAUUUUUAUCCUAAUAAUUAUUUUUGAUGUGUGUAGUUAACGUUGAAAACCUUAAUUUUCCCUGUUAAUUACUUUACUAUGAUUUCAGUCGUGAAUAUGUUAUUUUGAAUUUUACGUCAUCAGUCAAUCAGACUUUAUAAUUUAGUUGUCAAAAUUCAAAUUAUUUAUACCAAGUUUAUAUUUUAAAACACACAUAAGUUAUUACUUCUUGAUCAUAGGUCAGAUUGAUGUAAAAUUUUAAGUUCGAGCUCGGCUCAGAAAAUGAGUUUAAAAUUUUACUCAAGCCCAACCUAAAUUAAUAAUGCUAAAAUUGAGCUCGACCGGGUCUUCCCAUAUUGAUUUUUUUUAGAUUUUUUAUAUAAAAACAAAUUUUAAAAAUAUAAUAUAUCAAAUGUAAACACCCUAUACCUGACCUAGACAUUACGGUCAAAUCAUGGAGAUUACAUCUAACGAAUGGAAAAUUCAAUUGAACAACUCUUUUUUGAAAACACAAUGAUUCUCCUAAAUCGUAGCUUAAUUGUGUUACUAACAUCAAAAGCAAUUUACAUGAAAACAUUUGCGUGCUAACAAAAAAAAAACAUUUUGAGAGAAUUUCAGUUAAUCUUACAGUGAAAAACCUUAUAGUUUUUUAUAUAUAAAAUCGUGGUUCAUUUUUAAUUAUCAUAGGUUAAGCGUUUUUAAUGACUAAAGCCUUUGCUUAGUAAAUAUCAAAAUAGUCCUAACUAAACAAAAAUAAAAAUGUUCAAAACGAAAUAAAAACCCAAAACAGUCAAAAAAAUGUCCAUAAUAACAAAUAAAAAGUCCAAAGUGUUUAAACUAAAAUGUGUAAUUCGAGCUCCAGAGUCGCCAUCUAAUCCUAAGUCGAAAGAUCACCUGAAACAAAGAAAAACAUAGGCGUGGGCUUUAAGCCCAAUGUGUGAUUUGGCCCAUAAUUUCAAUAAUUUCAAUACAAGCAAUCAUCAAUUUGUUUCAUAGCAUAUCAGGCUUCAUAACUAGACAUAUUUUAUCAUAUCAUAUCAUAUCAUAUCAUAUCAUAUCAUAUCAUAUCAUAUCAUGUCCUACUCCCAUCCGCUACAUAUUGUCUCCGUCCAGCCAAUCAUACCAUAUAAGACUACUAGAGUCCAUCUAUUUAGUCACUUCAAUAGGUAGCAAUGUGCCACUUAUAUAAUUGCAGUUGAGCUGCUAUACAUAAAUUUGUGGUCUAGCCGCCACAAUUAUAGUAUAAACUAUCAUAUAAUGUAACACCCCAAACUCGGCCUAGACGUUAUGGUCAAAUCUGGCGUGUCACAUUGAAGUGUCUUUCGAAAAGUAGACUUGUUGGUAACAAUUCGUUUCUAAGUUUAAAACCCCUUUAUUAGUGUUUAACAAAACAUCUAGUCAAACGUUUACCUUGUUAUCUACUUUAGUUAUAAUGGGUUGAUUUUAAAUCGCGGCAACUUUUGAAAACUCUGAUCAUUUAAAUUUAGUAUCUUUGAAAAUAGUAAUUAUUUUGAAAAUUCGUCUUCUCUUAACCUAGUAGUUUAAGGUAAAUAAGCAAAAGCCCAAUUAGAAAUUCAAACAAACUUAAAGGCCUUAUUACAAAAACCAACCCAACAUAUAAUUUAAAUUUAAAAUAAAAGCAACUGUAAACAGCAGCAGUUGUGUGGCCACCUCCGAGUCCCUCGCAGCACUGAAUCGCCUAUAGCUGAGGAUUACCUGCACAGUUAAAAGGAGAGAGUGAGUUUACAAAACUCAGUGUGUAAUCCUCUACCAAACAGUCAGUAUACAACAUGCAGUAACAAACUGAGCUUGAGCCCUAUUCAGUAACAGUACAGUGAGGGCCUUAGCCAAAUACAGUAACAGUGUGGGCCUUAGCCCAAUACUGUAUCAGUACAAUGUAAUAAUACAAAUCAUCCCAAUCCAGUCAACAUACCACUCCGUACCACCAACACACCAUGUGGGGAUAAAAUUGACCCACCCAGCCAACACACCAAUAUCGCAGUAAAAUUGCCAGAAGUAGCAUCGCAGCAAAGCUGCUAGUAACAGUAUUGAAGCAAAGCUGCCAGUAACAGUAUCGCAGCAAAGUUGCCAGUAACAGUAUACUCCCUCCAUUGCAGUAUCCCAACCCCAUGCAAUAUGUCAUGUCAUAAAUCAUACGUGUAUGCAAAAUAUCGUAUUCAAUCAUAGUCAUACAUAUCAUAUAGCAAAUCGGUCAUACAUACAUAAGGCCAUAACAGUCAUUUUGACUCUUAGGGGUAUAACAGUCAUUUUACCCUAUGGGGGUAUUUCGAUCAUUGUACCCUAUGGGGGUAUUUCAGACAUUUUACCCUAUGGGGUAUUUUAGUCAUUUUACCCUAUAGGGGUAUUUCGAUCAUUUACCCAGAAAUGGCAAGUUGGGCUUAACACUCGAGCGAUCGCACGCCUGUGUGGUCUCAAACGUCGUAUUUAUGGCUUUUUGGUUUCUGCCGUUCUACAGUUACAGUAGGGUGUUUACACACAUAUUUAUGAGAAGAGCGCAAAUCUCCACGUACACCAACCUAUAUUCAAACAUAACCUAAGUCAGUCCUUUAAACACUAGGGUAAAACACCCUCUUAUUAACAAUUAAUCCAAAACACCAUCCUUACCUUGCUUGAAAGAGGGCGACUUUACUCCUCCAAGACCGCCAACCAAAAGUGGUCACACACUUAUCGAUUAUCUGCACCACAGACAGUGAUCUUAAUAACUAAGUUAGGCUAUAUAAGUGGCCAAGAAGGGUAUUCGGUUUUAAGAAAAAGAAUAGAAGAGAAUUGAUUUAAACAAAAAGUGACAAGUAUCAAUACUUUACCGAUAAUCAAAAACACUUACAGCACUGGGACAGCAAAAGCAACGAGGAGAAGAUCGGCGCAGAGAGUGAUAGAACAGAAGGGUGAUAUUCGACUGAACCACACUCAAUAAAAGAAGAUAGCUCAUGGUCAAAAGGAAAAUAAUGGAAGGUAGAAAUCAAAAACAGAAAGAGAAAAAUAUUCGGUUAAAGAAGAAAAGAAAAAGAGAAAGGAGAUUCGACCAACAGAGAAGAGAAGAGGGGAAAAGAGAAUGAAAGAUUCGGCAACAAGAGGAGAGGGAAAGAGAGAAGAGCAUUCGGCAAGCAGAGAAUAUGAGAAGGAAAAAGUAGAAAAGGAAAGCGAACAAACCCGAAAGGUAUUUUAAAACUUGGCAAAAUUCAGUACCAAUAACUAAUAGAUGAAACACGAAACUGACCGAAACCAAAAUAGACAGAAGAAAAACAACCUCAAACAUCGAUUACCUCAAUGGCUAAUGACCAAAUUCGGCACAAGCAUACCCCUAGCCGAAUUCUCAAGCUAGAGUUUCCCCAAACGGCACAACUCUCCUCUCAAAUAACUCCUUGAUUUUCUCCUCGUAUCUAUCCCCUUAUCCCUCAUUGAAUCACUCCACUGAUUUCUCCUCAACUCCUCCAACAAGCCAUUCAAAUUCCAUUCAAACUCCCUUUAGCUGUGUUUCAGUCCAACUCCGCUACCUACACAGCUCAAGCAGCAAAAUAAACACUCCAUUGCAUAACUCAGGACUUGAACCUCAGACCUCACAGUCACACAACACGCCACAUUGCCACCAGACUACAAGCUCUUUUUGUGUCAUAAAACAAACACUAAUAUUUAUAAGGACUAAAUGCCAAUGUCCAGAUUCAUUUAAGAGUAAAACUAAAAAUUCUGCAAAAACCAAGACUUGAACCCAAGCUUCUCAAACACUCCCAUACACACCCAAAUCACUUAGCCAUUAAAGCAAACAAGCAAUUUGCGUCAAAUUAUGCAAAAAUCAAAGACUUAGAUUUUUGGGGCGUUACAUAUAACACUUCUUCCAUUAUAUCAUAACCCACCUCGAAACACAAACAAAUCAUAAUCGUAUAACAUACUUAAAUAUAUAUAUAUAUAUCAUAACUCAAUGGCAUGCAUACUUACAUAUUGUCAUACAAAUCCUUACAUAGCACAUGGUUAAAUGGAACAUUUCCUACUUAACAUACCUCCUAAACUUAUCUGUAUACUUUUACGUACUGAUAUUUAGGCUUUUCUGGCCCCAUACGAUGCCUACGGACCCAGAUUUUGAGUCCCUCAAACUACCCCUAAUUGGGCCCUAAAAUUGGGCAAAAAGGCCUACGCAACCCAAAAAGCUAGCUCGUGUGGUCUAUACGGCCUACCACACGAUCUGCAAAGUUUUACACGGACGUGUGCUCCACACAACCAAGCCACAUAGGCUGUAAGAUUUCAUAUGGCCAUGUGGUGCACAAGAUUUACCACACGGCCUAGCCUAUGAUUAUGUGGCACUAGCCAAUUUCGAUGAACAGCCCCUAUUUUACGAAUUUAACGAGUUUCAAUUCAAUUUUUUGGUUAUUUUCACACACCUGAUUACGUAGUCAACUAACUUCAAUAACGGGAACUCACAAACCUACAAUUACGCAACAGUCGUACCAACAAUAUGUCAAAAAACAUCACCUUAAUACAACAAAAUUAUAGCCCUUAAAAUGACAUUUGAGUCCUUACCACUUGGAAAAUAGCGACUAAAAUAGAACUUAAUCCAUUGAAGGGAUUGGAUUAUCGGUUCCUUUGCCUAAUCAACACAAGAACAUUUAUCACCUUAAGCAAAAAAAAAAUUGAAUCAAAAUAACAGAAAAAAAAGGUACAAGAGGGAGAGGGAACAAACGGUUCUAGGAAAAGAGGAAUAUAAGGAUUUGAUAGACUUAAAAUAAAAUAAAAUAAAAUAAAAAUAGCAAGUUUUAAUUAAUCCAAACCCCACACUUCAGAUUUAAUAGAGUUUAACUAAACUUUAACACCUACGAGAAGCCCAAGCAAAAAGUAAAAUGUAAUCAAACACUUAACCAUUAAACCACUAAACCCAUCAUUAUUAUAACCCAACAAAGAAAUUGAUUUAAGCCCUAAGGUUCAAACUUAACUUAAAGUAAAAAUAAUAAUAAUAGAAAAUCUCAAAACUAGAUAAUUGAACUCAGGACCUAAAACAAACUUUUAAGACAGUUAACCAACGCUCCAAAUCAAAUUACUUAACCAACCUACACAUUCAAAAACCCAAAAUUUGGGGCAUUACAUCAAAUGUACAUAUAUUUAAUUACGUAAUGAUAUUUAAGCUUUUCUGGCCCUAUACGAUACCUACGGACCUAGAUUUCAAGUCCCUCAAAUUGCCUAAAAUUGGGCAAAAAGGUCCAUGCAGCCCAAAAAGCUAACUCAUAAGGUCCAUACGGCCUACCACAUGGUCUGGAAGAUUUUACACGGACGUGUGCUCCACGCCAAGCCACAUGGGCUGCAAGGUUUCACACGGCCAUGUGGUGCACAUGGUUUACCACACGGCCUGACAUAUGAUCAUGUGGCGCUAGCCAAUUUCGAGGAACAGCCUCUAUUUUGCAAAUUUAACGAGUUUCGAUUCAAUUUUUUGGUUGUUUUCACACACCUGAUUACGUAGUCAACUAACUUCAAUAACGGGAACUCACAAACCUACAAUUACGCAACAAUCAUACCAACAAUAUGUCAAAAAACAUCACCUUAAUACAACAAAAUUAUAGCCCCCAAAAUGACAUUUGAGUCCUUACCACUUGGAAAAUAGCGACUAAAAUAAAACCUAAUCCAUUGAAGGGAUUGGAUUAUCGGUUCCUUUGCCUAAUCAACACAAGAACAUUUAUCACCUUAAGCAAAGAACAAUUGAAUCAAAAUAACAGAAAAAAAAAGGUGCAAGAGGGAGAGGGAACAAACGGUUCUAGGAAAAUAGGAAUAGAAGGAUUUGAUAGACCUAAAUUAAAAAAAAUAAAAUAAAAAUAACAAGUCUUAAUUAAUCCAAACCCCACACUUCAGAUUUAAUAGAGUUUAACUAAACUUUAACACCCACGAGAAGCCCAAGCAAAAAGUAAAAUGUAAUCAAACACUUAACCAUUAAACCACUAAACUCAUCAUUAUUAUAACCAAACAAAGAAAUUGAUUUAAGCCCUAAGGUUCAAACUUAACUUAAAGUAAAAUAAUAAUAAUAAUAGGAAACCUCAAAACUAGAUAAUUGAACUCAGAACCUAAAACAAACUUUUAAGACAUUUAAUCAACAUACCAAAUCAAAUUACUUAACCAACCUACACAUUCAAAAACCCAAAAUUUGGGGCAUUACAUCAAAAGUACUAAAAAUAUUAAAAUAAAUGUUUCCCAACAAAUUGAGAAUACAUUGAAAAAGUCUUUAUACUUAAAUAACAUUAAAAAAUAACAUUGAGAUAGUUGCAACUUAGCAAGUAAGUUCCUCCAAAAUAGUAGCAAAAUUAACAAUAAAACAAAAAUUAUACAACAUUCAAAUAAUAACAACAAAAUAGUAGUAAUAAAAUAGUAAAAUGACAACAAAACAACAAUGAAAUGGCAACAAAACAAUAUAUUUGGUCAGGUCAGACUUAGAUCAAAAUUUAUUAAAUAUAUAAUUUUUUAUUAUAUGAUAUAAUUAGUGACUCAAUAGUUACUUAUGAAAACGCCCAAUUGAAUCUAAUUCACAACCUCUUCCAAUUUUUCAUUCCCAGAAAAUUGAAUUUUGUUUCUAAAUUCCCCCUCAAAAUCAUAAUGAUAGAUUUUUUUUUCAUAAUAACUUUUUUUUUUAGCUCCUCUUCAAAUUACUUAAAAAAUGGAUGGAAAAAUUAAUGUUGGUUAAUUUUGUUCAUAUAGUACCUACGUAUAUAUCACGUAAGCAAUUAAUUAAUAUUUUAAGUUAAAAAUAUUAAAAUAUGUUUUUUAUGUUUUAUAAUUUUUAAUACUUUUUUAUUUUUUUAAUAUAUAAUAAAAUAAUUAAUUGCUAACGUGGCAUUCAUGUGGCAAUCUACGUGUAUGUCAUGUCAGCAAAGUUAAUAAAAUGUUUUUUUUUCAUCUAUUUUAGUGUGAUUUGAUAAACAAUACAAAUUUAUUAACUAAAAAUAUGAAAAUCAAAAUGAAAAUGAAAAUAAUUUUUUGUUUAGGUUAUUGAAUCAAAUAAAUAAAUUAUAUAUAUAGACAUAUAUACACACACAUUUGCAUAUAGUACUAUGUGUUAUUUAGCUGUUAGUGGAACAUGUCUCAAAAUUAGUAGUGGGCAGUUUAUGGUUUACAGAUAAACAUGCAACAUCUAUGUUUCUACAUUGCUACAAAAUAACACGAUAAUGAAACCAAAAUUAACGUUGUACACAAAUGACGAAAUAAUAUGGAAAAGUAACUGUGACUUGAUGAAAUAAUAACAACAUAAUAAUACACAAACAUUUUGAAAUUUAUACCUACAAGCUCUCUAUUAAAAGUUUAAUUGUAUUUUAUUUUUAUUUAAAAAUGAGUAAAUUAAUCUCCAUACGUUAAAUUAAAGAGUAACAUGAUUAUUCUAUUAAAAAUUUUAUCUAUUUCUAUUAUUAAAAACUAGUCUCAGUACGUCAGCAUGAGAAAUAUAUGACAUGCCAAAUGUCACAAUUUGAUUAUUUUGUCAACUAUGUCAAUUUUAACAGUACAAAUGGAUAAUUUUUUUAAUAAACAUUAUCAAUUUACUCUUUAAUCUGACAUAUAAGGACUACUUUACCCUUUUAUUUUUAAGUAGAGAGGACAAAAUACAAUUUGACUCUUAAUACAGAAAUCUUCAUAGUACUUUUACUCUAUAAAUUAUAUAUUAACGUGUAAAUAUUUCAUAUAAAUAUGAAAAAUAGGAUACACAUACAUGAAUUGUUAGAUCUAAUAAUAAAAGCAAGUAGUUUAAAAAGGUAUUUAUUUUCCUUUCCAUUUUAAGUAAUUUUUUGUGUUUCCAAAUGAUUGAUGCAUAUCUACUAAUAAUAAUCUAUGAUUAACAUGUUAAGGUAUAUCUAAGAUACGAGUGUCAUAUAUAAAUACCUGAAAAAGAAAAAGAAAGUAAGCUGGGAUCAUUCACCAAUUUUCUUUUAUGUAAGUGAACAGAACAAACAGAGCAGUAGUACAUGUCCGUCAGCCAUUUCCUAGUGCAUGAAUCCGGAGAUGAUAAUCUAGAAUCACAUAAAUAUAAAGAAUUCACUUCUUUUUCUGCAAUUUAUUUAUACAUUUGGAAAUCCAAUUUCAUCUUCUCAAAUGAUAACUUAAAAAUGGUAAAGAGUCAAUAGGGUUAGUUGCGCAAACAAAUGUACUCGCAUGGGAAUCAAGUUCCACAAUUACAAUGAAAGACCUUCCCGUUGAAAGCAAUUUCAAAAGAAACCAUCCUUAGAAUUCAAUGAAUCAUCAAUAUCAUAGUAAGGAAACAUUAUUGUUGCAUGAACUCAAGAUUACCGGAGCCACUGAUUUCAUAUUGCAAAAUCCACAGACUUCAAAUCCUUAUUCUUUCUAUUCCUGUCUCUGAGGUAUCUAUUCUUUUCUUAUUAUAAUACAUUGUUUUGACUAUAUCACACUAUGUAUCAUUUAAUAAUUGAAUAGAUCCCUAUCUUUGAUUUAAAUCGAAUUUGUAAUGGAGGAAUUUCAAAUAUAUUUAGAACUAGAUAGAUCCCGCUGACACGAUUUCCUAUGCCUACUUAUUUGUCGGGAGUAUAUUUAUGCACUUGCUCAUGAGCUUAGUUUAAAAAAAUCGAUGAUUUUUUUUUAAAUCAGGGUUAUGGUAAUAAAUUCAGUUCACUAAUUGUGAAACAUUUAAUUCUUCAAAUAGAUCAACAAAAUCAUUUGAUUAGUUCUGCUAAUGAUUCCAACCAAAAUCUGAUUUUUGGGCACAACAAUUAUUUGUAUUCUCAAAUGAUAGCUGUAGGAUUUGUAGUCCCACUUAUGGGGUCAAAUCCAUACAUUUUGAGAAGAAAUAUUUGAAUAUAAAUCUCAUCGAUCUCAUAAGUAUCAUACCAAAUCCUAUCAAUCGAAUUAUUUUUUUUGAGAAAUACGAGACAUCUACGUCAUACAAGUAAAGAGAUCUAUUCAUUGAUAAGAAAAAUAAAAAACGUGAGCGGUGAUUGGAUUGGUGAGAAAAUAGAAUCAUGGGUUGCGAAUAAUGAUUCAAUUGAUGAUAAAGAAAGAGAAUUCUUGGUUGAGUUCUCCACCUUAACGAAAGAAAAAAAGAUUGAUCAAAUUCUAUUGAGUCUGACUCAUAGUGAUCAUUUAUCAAAGAAUGACUCUGGUUAUCAAAAGAUUGAACAACCGAGACCAAUUUACUUAUGAUACUUAGUUGACAUUCAUAAAAAGUAUCUAAUGAAUUAUGAGUUCAAUACAUCACGUUUAGCAGAAAGGCGGAUAUUCCUUGCUCAUUAUUAGGCAAUCACUUAUUUACAAACUUUAUGUGGGGCUAAUUGUUUUCAUUUACUGUCUUGUGGAAAACCCUUUUCGCUUCGCUUAGCCCUAUCUCCCUCUAGGGGUAUUUUAGUGAUAGGUUCUAUAGGAACCAGACGAUCCUAUUUGGUCAAAUACCUAAUGACAAACUCCUAUGUUCCUUUCAAUACAACAUUUCUUAACAAGUUCCUAGAUAACAAGCUUAAAGGUUUUCUUAUUGAUGAUAUCGAUAUUGAUGCUAGUGACAUUAUUGAUCGUGACCUUGAUACGGAGCUGGAGCUUCUAACUAUAAUGAAUACGUUAACUAUGGAUAUGAUGUUGGAAAUAGACUGAUUUUAUAUCACCCUUCAAUUCAAAUAACUAAAAGCAAUGUCUCCUUGCAUAAUAUGGAUUCCAAACAUUCAUGAUCUAGAUGUGAAUGAGGCGAAUUACUUAUCCCUCGAUUUAUUAGUGAACUAUCUCUCCAAAGAUUGUGAAAGAUGUUCCACUAGAAAUAUUCUUGUUAUUACUUCAACUCAUAUUCCCCAAAAAGUGGAUCCUACUCUAAUAGCCCCGAAUAAAUUAAGGCAAAGAGAGACGAUUUCGCGAGACUUAGCUUGGCAAACAAGUUGAUUAUUCGAGAUGUUCUGUCAUUGUUAUUGGCCCUUCACUUUUAUUACAUCGCUGUGGAUUGCCUCACGAAAUAGAAAUAGAGCUUUUCCAGACAUUUGUAAUUCGCGGUCUAAUUAGACAACAUCUUGCUCCGAACAUAAGAGUUGCUAAGAGUAAAAUUUGGGAAAAAAGAUCGAUUGUAUGGGAAAUACUGCAAGAAGUUAUGUGGAGACAUCAUGUAUUGCUGAAUAGAGUGCUUACUUUGCAUAGAUUAGGUAUACAAGCAUUCCAACCUAUUUUAGUGGAAGGAUGCGCUAUUUGUUUACACCCAUUAGUUUGUAAGGGAUUUAAUGCAGACUUUGCUGGGGAUCAAAAUGACAUUUCAUAUACCUUUAUCUUUAGAGGAACUACUAAGUACUUAUCAUUAAAAGGAACUACAAACAAUCAAUGUAUAAUGCAUAACACUAUAAGUUUAUGUACUCAUAUUACCAUCUUUAAAAAAACUCAAAUAAAGGAAAAAAAUAAAUUGACAAUAAUCACAGCAUUGGAAAAAAUUAAAAAAAAUUCAGAGAUGCAUCGCUUUAAUCAAUUUGCUAAUAUUUACAUCUUAGCUUUGCCAUCAUUAGAAGCCCUAAGAGAUUCUUUACAUCGUAUGCACAAAAAGUCAAGUAUUAAUGGCCUACCUUUCUCUACAUUUUAAAGUCCAAUUUUGCAAACACUCUCCUAACGAGGUUCUUUGAGUUCCCAAUAGAUUUGGUAGUGCCUUUACUUGAUCGGUCUCAUUUAUAUGUCAAAACAUGAUUAGAGACAAAACUAAAACCAUCACCACUUUCAGUGAAAACUGAAAACAUGGUAAAAUAAAAUCACCAAAAGAACAAGCGCACUGAAACUACAACCAUAACAGUUUUUUUUUUUAAACAAUGGAGUAAAACUAAAAACUAAACAAAAUUGUUGAAACAGUGGUGACCGGUAAGUAGCCCAGAGGUGGGUGUGGCUGCCGGCAAGACCAAGUUAUUAACUUUAAAUUAAGAAAAAGUAAGGUGGUAGUUGUAGGCCAUACAGUUUUAUUUGCUUUCGGUGGUGAAGCUCUGAUUAUUCAAUUCAUAAAUUAAUUGAAAAAAAAAAAGGAACAAAUUUGCAGCAAAGUCAAGAAAGUACAAGGAAAAAGAGAAUAGUAUGGUUAGCCCCACUUCACUUUAAAUUAAGAAAAAUAAAGGUAGUAGUCGUAGGCCUUUGCGCCUCCACUACAUAGUGGACUUUCUUUUAAGUGUUGACUGAUGAUUCCAUUCAUAAAUGAAUUGAGAAACGAAAUCACUUGAAACUUGCAAUAAAGUGAAUAAAGUAGAAGAAAAAGAAUAUUGAUAUAUCAACUUAUCACCAUUUUUAUGAUUAUUAUUUCUUUAGAUAUAAGUCUUCUAAACAAUAUAAUCUUUAUUAUAAAUAUGACAUUACAAAUUCAAUAAAUAAAAGUAAACUUGAUAUUAAAAGUUUUAUUUUACUUUUAUCAAUCAACCCAUUUACUCUAUUUCCUAAAUUUUAGAUUUUAUUUUAUGAUAUAUAUAGUCAAAAUUCAAAAAUAACAUAAAAUUUCAUGGAAUCUAGUUUUUCCAGAUUAGCAACCAUUUAUACUAUUCCUAGCUCAGGAAAUUGGUUCUUCAUUUACAAGUUGAGUCUCAAAAUCAAAGUCCUCCACCUAAUGUAUAUUAUGUUGAUGUGAUAUGUCUCUAAAUUAUUGAGUGGAAAUUUUAUCAUGGAUUCAAUCAUUUUCAAUGCUACAAAAUGACAUAAUAGCAAAACCAAAAACUUAUCCUUAAAACAAAACCAAAACCUUAACUCAAAUAUUACAUAUGAAAUAAAUAAUUAAAACAUAAGGUGUGAAAUCAGGUUAUGAGAAAUAAGAAGAGCAUAAUGAAGAAAACUGUCUCAAAAUUUAUAUUAUACAAGUUAUUAACAAAUCAAAAUUUAUAUAAAUAUAUAAGUUUUAUAUAAUUCCCUGUUGGGUCGAGAAUGCAUUAUUAUCUCUAAUUCCCUAUUAAGUCAAGAAUAGUUCUCAAACACCCUAUUGAGUCAAGAACACAAUGUUAUCUCUAAUUCCCUCUUGGGUCAAGAACAUAUCAUUAGCUCCAAUUCUCAGUUGGGUCAUGAGAGUGUAUUGUUGUGGUAAUACACGUUUUCGAACAUGAAAUCAGCUAAUAAAGGUUAAGGUAUAAAGAUCGUAGUUGCUUGUUUGAAACAUGGUUAAUUAAUGUAGAUACAUUGAGGGUGCUUAUAAAUGAUAAUAAAGAAAAUAUAGUGCAUGAGGGUGGACUAUGAUAACAAAAUGCAUUUGUAAAAUGGUAAUAAUACUAAAUAAAAACAAUAAAUAAUUUACUUAAUAAAAGAUAAAGAUAUCCCAUAAAAGAAUAAGCAAUCAUUCAUUUGGAUGCCAACCAGCUUUGCAAUCAAUCGUAUAAAUUAUUCAUGUAACAAGUGGAGAUAGAUUAGGAUCGUUUAGCUCGAAGGCAUCUAAAGAUUACUGUUCAACUUCAUUUAAGUUAAUUAGUCAUUGUGAAUAAUUAGAUGAGUUUGGCAUGUACAUAGAUUUAAAAUAGAUGUUGGAGUCAUUUGAUGAUGUGGUAUCUAUAAUGUUGAGAAAUUGUAGUCUAGGUAUGUAUAUAUGUAUGUAAUGGUACUUAUAUAGGGUUAAGAUCGUAUGCACUGAUCUUUAUACAAUGUUUAUUACAAGUUUCACGUGUUUUUUGCGUGCCAAGUAAACUAAUUUUGAUGAUUGAAUUUGGAAAGGCUAUUAUUAUGUUGGUGGUCAUAUUGUUGGAUGUGUUUUGACAAGCAUAAAUGGUGUUUGGGACAUGAAUUUUGAGUCCUAUAAGUCUUGAAAAUGAAUUGGUAUAUGUUAUCAAAUCAGGUGAAAUCAGGUGAUUUUAGGGAUUGUUCCAACAAACUUAUUUUGAUAUAAGAGAUCAGAUGUAUCGGUACAACUAAGUCAAUCUCCAAAAUUGAACGAUAACAGGAACUUGUAGCGAUACAACUAGGUCAAUCAAUGUCUCCUCCCUUGUUUUAAGUCAUUUUGAUCCUUGGACACCCUGACUUGGUCCUAAACAACUUUGGUCACCUAGAACUCAUAUUAAAAUGUUCUAAAUGAAUUUAAAUGACUUAUAAACAUUUUUAAUCAAGGCAAAUAGUUUUCUAUGAAUGAGUAAAUGUUUGUGUACAAGUUGAUUUUAGAGUAUGUGCUUUUCUCUCUUUACCUACAUUUAGAGACAGAUUAGUAAAAAUAAACAAGACAGAGGAUAUAUGCCAUGUCCACUGCAAACUACUUCGUAGCUAUUACAAUGAAGAAUAUUUUGCCUUUCAUCCAACUCAAGCAACAUGCAGCAUAAAUUUUCCCUAUACAUAAACAAAACAUACCAUAAAUCAUUUUGCAUAAGCACUAUCCGUUGGUCGAAUGCUGACCAGUCAAGCCCUACCAACUUUUAAUUUGAGUAUUUUUUAAGUAGAUAUGUUUGAGUUAUUUAUAUUUUAUAUAAUUUUUCUCUAUUACAUAAACAAAACAUACCAUAAAUCAUUUUGCAUAAGCACUAUCCGUUGGUCGAGUGUUGACCAGUCAAGCCCUACCAACUUUUAAUUUGAGUAUUUUUUUAAGUAGAUAUGUUUGAAUUAUUUAUAUUUUAUAUAAUUUAUAUUAUUUAUAUUUAGGCGAGUAUUGAUUCACAUGUAUAAUUUAUAUUUUUUUUACUUGACAAGGAACCUUAAAAAAUUGUUAUAUAUUUUUAAUUUUAAUAUUUUACGAUAUCUUUAUAAAAUAUUUGUUAACCUCUGACCCUACUUAUGAAAUCUAAAAUUUUUAUUGAUAGUGUACCAAAUAUUAUUUCUUUAUAUAUUAUAAAAGUAAAAUUUCAUAAAUUUAAGAAAAUCAAAAUUUUAUAUAAUUUUUAAAAAUUCAUUUUGAAUUUGAAAUUAAAACUUUUAAUAUUUAUUUUAAAAUUUUGAUAUAAUAUUUUUAAUUUUUAUAAUUAACAUUGUAGAGAAAUAAAUCUUAGUAAACGUAUUUUUUGAAUUUCUACUCCAAAAAUGUGUCAAUUUUUUUAAAGAAUUAUUUAAAACUUGAUUCAAUUCGAAAAAAUUGAAAAAGAAGAUAAUUUGAAAUAAUUUGACUAAUUGAUUGGUGUAAGCCUAAGUUUGAAAUAAUAUUUUUUAUUAGCAAAAGUUGUAAAUUUAUUUUAGUUCAUUUUAUUACAAUUUAUUUAUAUAUCUUUAAAUAAAAAUAAACAAUUAAAGAAUAAAAAAAUAAAUCAAUAAAAUAAUUUAUUUUAAUACACACCUUAAUGUUAAUGGUAAUAAUACUAAAUAAAAACAAUAAAUAAUUUACUUAAUAAAAGAUAAAGAUAUCCCAUAAAAGAAUAAGCAAUCAUUCAUUUGGAUGCCAACCAGCUUUGCAAUCAACCAAACUUACACAUCACACUUUUUGUUUCAUGUCUAUCCAAAUAUGAAUGCAAUACCACCCUCUUCACUUCUUCUUUUCUCACUCACUGCCCCUUCUACAUCAUGACUUCACCCCCAAUUUCAAUGACAGGGAUGUGGGAAAUGUUGGCCCAAUCUUUGCCUUUCUCCUUUUUACAACGUUUCUCCAGCAAAGGACAGUUCCUAAUGUAAAAAAAAGAGAGGGAGGGAGGGAGCAUGUUUGGGGGCAUGGAUUGGAGCUUGGGACAACUGUCGAUAAGCAAUCUGGAAAGAGAGGUGAGGUGUUGAAACCCCUUAUACUCCAAACUCUUUAGAUUUGGAAGUUGAGAGAGCCAGAGAGUUUCAAGAGAAGAGGGAAGCAGAUGUUCAUCUGGAAAACACUCCAUCUCUACUUCUGAAAAUGAGAUCUCGAGAUCUGUAAGAGAAGGGAGUGUAUGCAAACUCCAUUCCCUUUUCCUAAUCAAGCUCUCAAUUAGUUUAUCACUGCUUCCGAUUGUAAUUCUUUUUAAUUUGGAGGGCAAACCCUCUUUUGGAACCCUCUCUAUUUCUGGACAUACAAGUAUUUUCAAAUCCUCAAGGGAUGGAAAGACAGAGUGCAUUUGCUCUGGCAAUGACUUUAAACUAGGGCAACCCAAAAGCGUAAGCCGGGUCAAAUUGGUUACAGCUAAUCCAUCUUCAAUUUGAAAAGAUUUCAAAUUUUGGCACCACUAUAUUUCCAAAGAAUUGAGACAUGUUAGAUGCUGGUGGUGAGAGCCCUCUAAAGCAGCACUAAAAAACUUCAAGUCUUCACAUCCAGAAAUUUCAACAUGCUUUAGCAUAGGAAACGGUCCUAAUGAGAAAGAUUCCAGUUGAUCACACUUUGUACCUUUUAUCUUCAGAGAUUCAAGGGAUGUAUACAAGAAGAUUUUGGAAUGAUUAAAAGCUUUGCACUGCUCGAUCCUCAGUUUUUUCAGUGUAAUAGACACACUAUCCUCAGGAAGGGAUUUGAUAUUAGAACAACCAGAGAUAAUUAACUCGUCGAGAUGAGUGCAGUGUUUCAACAUCUGUUCCAAUAUGGAAUCAUUCAUACUCGAACCUUUGAUGCCCAACUUUCGAAGCCCACAAGGCAAUGGCUCCAAUUGCAGUGCAUCGCAUCUUUCUAACUCAAGUUCACAAAUGCCUGGUGUCCUUGGGAGAAAACAUUCAAGCUUCUCACAAUUUGCAAUCACCAAUUUCUUUAAAGAGGGGAGGUGUUUGGGUAUUGACUUGAUUAGCUUUGGACAAUCCCUGAUGCGUAGCUCUUGCAGAAGGGAGAAAGCUUCAUCACUCCUACACAACCAUUCUUCCCACCCAGCCAUAUUCUCAAACACUAGGAUUUCAAGAGAUCCAAAUGGUUUAGUCGAAGCUUGUCCAUUACUAUAGAACUCCUCGCCAACUAUUACAACUUUCCUGAACCCAGAAAUGGAGAGAGAUUUCAAAGAUGAUAAUUGGCCAAGCGGAGGCAAAGAUAUGCAAAAUUUACAAUCUUGCAACUCCAAAGAUAUCAUAUUUGAGAAGGACAAAUGCCCCACCCAUUCUGGAAAUCUCCUGCCUUUGUAACUUCCGAUAACUAGAUGCUUCAAGUUUGUAUUAGGCUCCAAUUGUUCCAAUACUUCUCUAUCAUGCUUUGAGUCACCAGCAAUAUCAUAAUAUUCAUCCCAUGUCAACUUCAACUCCUUAAGAUUAACCUUAUCCUUCAAAUUGGCAUCUUUGGCAUCCCUGGCAUUUACAACAUUUUUCAGUCUUGAAAUGGCAAGUCUUCCCCGUAAGUGCUUGAGCUUUCCCAACUCAUUAAUGCUUGAGCCAGUUUGAUCACCUAUAACAAAAUCUGUUAAGAUUCGAAUAUCUUUCAACUUACCCAUCCCUUCUGGCAUCCUAGUUAACUUUGUUCCCCUAAUAUCAAGAUAAAGCAUGUUGAUCAAUCUCCCCAUGUCUCUCGGCAACUCAACAAGGUCACUGCAUACAUGCAAUGUCAAUGCUUGCAAAUUAUACACCGUACACAGAGAAUUUGGCAACCUUGUGAUUGAAGUUUUUGAGAGAUUCAAAUUUCGUAGAUGCUUCAAGUUACUAAUUUCUUUUGGCAAUUCUUUGAUAUUUGUAUACCCAGCCAAAGAAAGCACUCGUAAGCUUGAUUUCAUCAACAAAUCAUGCAUUAGCACAUUGCUAACACUACAAUAGGAAGAAGACUUCACAGUUAGGAAAGCACGCAGACAUUUUGCUUUAGGUAAGCUCUGAAAUUUUUGUCGCACAUCAUAAAAUUCUUGGACAUUGGACAAAUGACGGGUCUUUUCAGUUAUUACACAAGAACCACCACUCCCUUCCAAUCUGCAGAUGAAUUCUCCGGUGACAGAUUUAGCCAAGUCACUAAUUAGAUCAUGCAUGACAAAACAAGAUUUCUCUCCUUUUGAUUGUUGAAAAAAGGACCUCAAUCUCAAAUCUUUGAAGUACUCGUUACCCAGUUCUUCUGGAUUUCCAUUAUCUUUCGAAAGCUGUAAAAGUCCUUCAGCCAUCCAUAAUUGAAUAAGUUCUUCCUUUUCGAAUUCGUAAUCUUUAGGAAAAAUUGAACAAUAAGCAAAACAUCGCUUUAAAUGUGAAGGAAGAUAAUGAUAACUUAAUGCUAGCGCUGGAAGAAUAUUACUUGCAGUAUUUGGUAUGUCCCAAAAAUUGCUAUGCAAGAUUUUGUUCCAUUCAUCAGCGUCUAGUUUACAGCGAAGGAGACCUCCAAGUGUUUUUGCAGCCAAAGGAAGGCCGUUACACCUUUUCACGAUUGCUUCACCAAUUGCCUUGAGAUCCGGAUGCGUACUUGGGGUUGUACCAACGAACGCAUGCUUUGCGAAUAACGUCCAACAAUCAUCAUUAGAUAAGGUCUUCAGAGGAUAAGUUGGAAUAGUCCUCAUAAUGUCGGCAACANNNNNNNNNNNNNNNNNNNNNNNNNNNNNNNNNNNNNNNNNNNNNNNNNNNNNNNNNNNNNNNNNNNNNNNNNNNNNNNNNNNNNNNNNNNNNNNNNNNNUUACAAUCGAAUCACGAGUUCACGGUCAAAUUUGAAAGGAAUGCUGAGCUGCUCCCACACAGCAUAGUUUUCAUUCCAAACAUCAUCCAUAAUGAUUAGAUAUUUCUUUCCCAACAGCUGCUCUUUGAGUUUAAGUUGAAACUGAUUUAAGUUCUGGUUUCCAUCACAGCUACAUUUGGUUUCUUCAAGAAUGGUUUUGGUUACCUUGAGAGCAUCAAAUUUCUCUGAAACACACACCCAUGCUUUGGGGUGAAACCAUUUAUCCACUCUGGGGUCAUUGUAGAUCAAUUGGGCAAGGGUGGUUUUUCCAAGCCCGCCCAUACCCACAAUGGGAAUCACAUCUACCUGAUUUUUAGGCAGAUUUUGAGGAUCCAACAACUUCAUUAUUUCUUCUUUUUCAUCAUCUCUACCACAAACAUCAGACUCGUCCACCAAAGAAGUUGCAGGCGUUCUUUGAAAUGCCUUUUCUCCUUCAGAGUUUUCUUUCAGACCCAGAAUCUGUUUUUGGUUCAGUAGGUUGUCUAGUCUCCCAAGGAUCUCCUCUAGCUUUGACUGCGCCCCAUCUUUGAAAGGAUUCAAAGAAGAGAAAAAGCUACUAACCUGCUUCAUAUUAGUAGUUUGAUAUUCUGAUUCAAUCUUGUUCCGAAGAGCUUCAGUAGAGAUCUCGUCCAGGAGGUCCUCGGCAUCAUAAACAGCAUCUUUGAGCUCAUCGGUCCAACUUUUGACAUUUGGGUUGGCAAUCUGCUUAUUUUCAGCAUCAUCCAACACUGCUUUCACCGACAUCAAGGUUGGCUUGAGUUUGUUCAGCAGCACAGCUUCAAGUUUCUUUCCUUUGAUAAGCCUCAGAACAUCGGCAGAAACAAUCCUAUCAAGCAGCACCUCAAUGGAAGCAGAGAGAAAAGCUUCACCCACCAAAGCCAUGUUUUUUUGUGGGGUUUUUUGGUAAAGAAAGGUUUAAAGGAAGAUGAAAAGGGAAGUAAUAACAAAGAAAGGAAAAGAAGAGUGCUUCAACUAAAGAGAAGACACGGUUGCAAAGAUGAAGGAUUUGAAUUUGAAACAGAGAAAGGAACAGUAGAAGGAUUGGAUGAAAGGGGAAGGCUUUAACUCGCAAAUACUUUAGUUUCAAUAAAGAUGAAGCAGCCUCAUCCAAUUUGUGUAUAAAAUUUCUUUAUUGGAAUGUUUGAAAACAUGAUUUUGGGUUGAAAAUUUUAAAUUUUUUUUAUAACGUAUAAAAAGUAUGGAAAAUUAAUGUAUUACACAAAUGAUGAAAUA